rnacentral:tRNA from 1 species
GGGCUCAGUGGUAGAGUGCUUGCCUUGCAUGCAUGAGGUCCUGGGUUCGAUUCCUCAGUACCA